AGGCUAGGGAUUUCUUGAUAGAGUAGUGAAGUCAUAUAUUUGUCCAAUCUAAGCGUGCAUCUUAUGAUUGUAUUAUUGAGUUGUGUGAUCUUUGCAUGGGCAUUUUGGGGUUGGAAAUUUACCACUAUAAAUUUAGCAGGUAUAAUAAAAGUCUCCAGUGUUUUCAUUUCACAGGGCUCAGGGGAGUUGAGUGAGUGGUUGCGGACAUUCUGUAGGCCAGCCACAGCGGGUGGCUUAAGAAAUUCCAGCAGCAGCUCCAGAUUAAACUGGUUUGGUUAGCUUAAGCAAGCUAGCCCUGGGAACAGGGCAAAAGGCCGCUUAGAGCUAGCCAUGGUGGGAGGAGUGUGUGAGGGGGAGGGUAGGCAAACCCUCCUGAUGCUGGUGAUAGCGGGAUUUAGCAUGGCUUUUUUUUUUUUUAAUAACUAGAUGCUACCACUAAGUAUUUAGGAAUGUGGAUCUAAGGAGGAGAAUAGCUGAGCUCUGCCUAGGACCAAUCUUCAAGACUAGAGUGAUGCUGAUCUGAAAAGAAUGAUUUUGUGAAAAUUGGAAAACCAUUGCUCUUAAGAGAACAAGUACUGGGCCUUUCUUCCUGGCAGGCUGUUCUGGAGCAGCUUUGAAAGUGCUCUAAAGAAGAAAUGUCAGUGUCUGGUUUAUAGUGGCAGUGGGUGGGUGGAAAUCAAGCAUGUGGAGACGGAGUCCUGUCACCUUGUUGUGGAGAGGCAGGAGGAUGCCCCAGGCAAUGGGAGUACAUUGGCUGUGGCUUUAUAAAAUUUCUCUCCUACUGUUUCUUCCUCUCUCAGUAUGGUUUUUUUUCUUCUAAACACCAAGGACAAGAGUCCUGAUUUCUGCCUCCUGACCUACCCAGAGCACAGCAGAUCGACAUCUAUGAUGGUCUGUCUGGAAGCGGUACCGAAGAGAUCAAGGGCAGCAGCGGUGUGGAUGACGACGGAGAUGCCCUGGCACGCUCUCCUCAGGAACUGGGCAUCCACAAUGUCUCCCUUCAGUACCAUCACCUUGGCUUUUGUCUGCAGCUCUGUGGACACAAAGCAGGUCGGUGGGAAGCUUUCGGCAUGGGAUGGAAAUUUCCUGACACGGGUGUCAGUCACCUAGACCCUCAAAGGCAGUCAUGUGGAGGAUGCCUUUCUACUGAAGGAAGCAUAAACACUCAAAAAACCAGAAUGUAGCAUUUGUAGGGAAAGAAGCAUCUAUUUCCAUCCCAGCCCUUUGUAGAAAAUGCAUCUGAGCAGUAAGAUGCCAUUCGUGCUUUGCACACGAACAGAGAAUUAUGGGAAAUUCCUACAUUCAUUAAAGCAGCUGGAGGGGUGGUGGUUAAUGAGAUUGUGUCCCCCAGAGUUCCAGUGAGGAGGACCCAGAACAGGGAGACACAAAGAUGGGAAUUUCAAAGGCUAAUAUGUUUUGAAACUUUCUGAAGAACUAGCUGGAUAGAUGAAAGGAAAAGGGGGCCCCUGUGAGAGAACUCAGAAUGGGCUCCAGUGGUUGGUUUUACGUGAGUAAUCCUUGUCAGAUUGAUAAUGUAAAUGAGAGGCAACCUCACCCAGACCACAUAUCCAAGGGCAAUGGAUGCAUCGGUAUCUUUGGGUUCCCCUGAAAUCUAUUGAAUGAUACUGCUAAUCACAAUGUCACCCAAAUUAGCUCACAAAGUUAACAUGUAUCCACGCAGCCUGUACACUCCCCACACUGGCUGGAGCUUCGGAUUUUGCACAUGAUUUUCUUAAUUUUCUCUUUCCUUUCCCAGCUACCUCAUGCUAUCUGGGAUUCUGAUGUCCCUAGUAUAGGUUGGGGAAGCACAGAAAGCUCCAGAACAUGCCUCAGGACAUACAGCUGCCUACUGGAGACUCCAUUGUUACUCUGCUUCCUUCCAAUCCUGCUCACUUCUCUAUGAACUCAGUCCGAGGCUGGCUGGGAUCAACUCUUGCGAGACAGUUAGCUCAGCUGAACUUACAGUGCAGCUAAAGAAUAGCUUGACAGAGGCUGAAGUAGAAAUCUAGAGCAGGAGAAAUCCCUCUUGGGACAGAUGAAAACCUCUGUUGGAUCUAUCUACUCUAGGCCCCCUUCCCCUGUCAGGCAACCCCAAGAAGGCCUUGAAGUAGAGAAGGGUGGGUGUUUUAGUUAGGGUUUCUAUUGCAAUCAAAUGACAGUAUGACCAGGGGAACUCUCAUAAGGGAAACAUUUAAUUGGAGCUGGCUUAGUUUCAGAGGGUGUGUCCAUUACCAUCAUGGUAUCAUGCAGAGCCCAGGCCUGGCUACUUUGCAUCAACUCUUCUGAUGCUAUGACCAGGAAAAUCCUCACAAAAGAAAACAUUUAAUCGGAGCUGGCUUAGUUUCAGAGGGUUUAUCCGUUAUCAUCAUAGUGGCGUGCGGGCAGACAUGGCACUGGCAGAGCCUUGAGUUCUACACCUUAAUCCUCAGGCAGCAGAUGGAGACUGCCUUCCGCACCGGGCACAGCUUGAGCAUAGAUGAACUCCAAUCGUGCCCUACAGUGAUAUACUUCCCCUAGCAAGGCCAUACCUCCAAAGCCAAGUUUUCAAACACAUGAAUCCAUGGGGACUCUUUCUAUUCAAACCACCACCAUGGGAAAAAGGCUCCUGGGAAGGGAGCAGGUGCUAGGAUAAGAGUCUCCUUCUGUCUGCUCUUUCCUCUGCUUUCCUGUGAGCUGACUUAUACAGACUGGGGCGAAGGAGUAGCUGUGCCAUGACACGUGGUACCCAGGUGGAGUAUAGCGGACUAACUUCACACUUCCGUUCUUUGGUGGUCCUGGGAUACCCGGCCAUCUUAAGUGCUUUCUGGUAGAGCCACAGCUCUCACCUUGUUCACGACACCGUGGACUUGACAGUUGUUCUUCCCUGCCUUGUCAUGGAGGUGAUGUCAUGCUGUGGUCUGAAGGAGAAGGAGAUCCAGAGAGAAGCUCACACUCAGCAGCCUUUCAAAGGACAAAAGGUUCCUGCUCUGUUUGAGUUCCUGUCCUGGUUUCCAUCCUUGUUGAAGAGUGAUGAAGAAGCUCAAACCAAAUAAACCCUUUCCUCCCCUCAUUGUUUUGGUCAUGGUGUUUCAUCGCAGACAUAGAAAGUACCCCUAGCUAAGAUACAUUCUUUGUGUCAACUAUUUCUUUUUGUCUGCUUGCUUUGAGACAGGGUGCCUAGGUUAUUUCUGAGGAUGCUAAAAUACAAACCAUUAGACAGAAAUUUAAGGUUUCUAUAUUUUGGCAUUUUGAUGGAUGAAACAAAGUGAAGCAACCAAGUAUGUGAAGAAACUGUGACUUACAUAGUAAAGAUUUAUAAGGGAAUAUAUAAAAUAAGAAAA